rnacentral:rRNA from 1 species
CCCCAGCGCCACGAGUGGGAAUCGCGUUUAUUUGGCCUAAAGCAUCCGUAGCUGGUUUUGUAAAUUUCUUGUGAAAUUGUUAGACUCAAUCUAACAGCGUGCAGGGAACACUGCAUAACUAGGGACCGGGAGGAGUUAGGAGUAUGCUAUGGGGAGCGGUAAAAUGCUAUAAUCCAUGGUAGACUACCUGUGGCGAAGGCGCCUAACUAGAACGGGUCCGACAGUGAGGGAUGAAAGCCAGGGGA